rnacentral:rRNA from 1 species
CAGUAGCCGCGGUAAUACAGAGGGUGCGAGCGUUAAUCGGAAUUACUGGGCGUAAAGCGUGCGCAGGCGGUUAUAUAAGACAGAUGUGAAAUCCCCGGGCUCAACCUGGGAACUGCAUUUGUGACUGUAUAGCUAGAGUACGGCAGAGGGGGAUGGAAUUCCGCGUGUAGCAGUGAAAUGCGUAGAUAUGCGGAGGAACACCGAUGGCGAAGGCAAUCCCCUGGGCCUGUACUGACGCUCAUGCACGAAAGCGUGGGGAGCAAACAGGAUUAGAUACCCGUGUAGUCCCUGUCUCUUAUAC